rnacentral:rRNA from 1 species
CAUGGCUCAGGACGAACGCUGGCGGCGUGCCUAAUACAUGCAAGUGGGACGCAAGGGAACACACUGUGCUUGCACACCGUGUUUUCUUGAGUCGCGAACGGGUGAGUAACGCGUAGGUAACCUGCCUAUUAGCGGGGGAUAACUAUUGGAAACGAUAGCUAAUACCGCAUAAUAUUAAUUAUUGCAUGAUAAUUGAUUGAAAGAUGCAAGCGCAUCACUAGUAGAUGGACCUGCGUUGUAUUAGCUAGUUGGUAAGGUAAGAGCUUACCAAGGCGACGAUACAUAGCCGACCUGAGAGGGUGAUCGGCCACACUGGGACUGAGACACGGCCCAGACUCCUACGG